UUUCACUAGACCUCACUUAGAAAAUAGUUCAUAGCAACAUGGAUGUGACAAUCUAAAAGAAAAAUAAUGAUAACAAUGUCGCAGAACAGUCUGUGUUUGUCUACUUUUUUCUUAUUUUCAACAAAUCCUCCAAAGAGAGUAACACCAACAAAGUGUUGGUCCAUCUCUCAAUAAUUUCUGACUUCCUGUGGAUCUCAGCUGCCUGGUUCAUACAAUGAAACUGUUUGGAGUAAAGCAGCCGUCCUCCUGAUCGAUCAUGAGCUCCAUCAGAAGCCAGAGCUUCUGCAGCCUGGAAGAGACACGCUCUGCUGCUAAUUUCAUCCCCUCUCCCCCUGUGCUUCGUUUGCCGAAGAUCUCUACGGCUGUGAUUUAUCACUGCUCUGUGGCUUUCAGCUCUCUGAACUUGUCUCAGCAAACUUGCAGCAGAUGGAUGUGAGUGUCAGCGACGUGUAUAAAUCAGCGCAGAUGGGCGGAUGCCAGCAGCAGCAGAGAGACGGGGGCGAGGACGUUAAAUGUGCUGUUAUUUUCUCUGAUCCUUCAGACCUCUCUGGGCAGCUUUUAGUUGAGAUGAGUUAAGCAUUGACAAUGAUGUAUGAGAGCACAACGUGCAUCGAUUAAUUGAUCAGGUAUUUUAUGUACAGUUGAUGAACCAAGGAGCUGCAGCGUGUGUUUGUUUUGCCUGUAAGCAUGUAGAGGAGCAUAUGUGUGGGAUUUUUUUAUACAUCUUUGUGAGGACCAGCGGUAGACUUAGCCUACUAUAAAUAUCUACUAAAAGCUAAAGUCAGGACAUGUUUGGACAGUCAGGAUGUAGGGAAAGUGAGGCCAUUUUGGGGAAAUGGAAAGUGAGAACAUUUUUUUACAAUGUGAGGACAAAUUUUAAACUAUUGACAUUUUUUGAAAUGUGGAAGUGGACAGCGAGGCCACAUUUGGAAAAAGAAGACAUUGUAGAAAUUGAAGUAAUACAAAGUGCUUUACUUAAGUCUUAAAAGAAACACAAGGCAAUUUAAGAAUACAAUAUAAAAAGACAAAUAGCAUUGUGAGAGUAACAUUAAAUGAAGACAGAAUAACAGUUACAGUACAGCCACAGUGCACUGCAAGAUGUGAAUAAAUAGUCCCAAAUUUCAUGACAAUUUAAGAACGUAAGGAUAUUUUUGCUAACUCGGGCCAUUUUUAAAGACAGAGCAUGAUUGGAAAAUGAGGGCAUUUGAAAUUGAGAAAGGUUUGUGAGGUAUUUUAUGUACUGUAAGUACAUUUUGUUCAAUUAUUUGAGGAGUAAAACUUGUAUUUAGGUUUAAGGUAAAACUUUAGAUGAAGGUUCUAGUAAAAGGCCAGGGAAUGUAUUCUCUUAAUAAGGUAAAUUAUAGAACGACAGAUCUGGGUAUACACUGCAAUGUGUGCUUGCUGGUGUGAAUGUUUGUUUGUGCAUGUUUGUGUCCACAUUUCUCUAUGUACAUGUACUGUAAGAAUAUGUAUCUGCCUGUGUACAUGCUUGUCCCCGUGUUUGUGUGUGUUCGUCCGCGCGUGUGAGACUGCAGAUUCCUCUGACCUUGGACGCCCGUUAAGCUGCUGGAAACAUGCAGCAGCUCAUCAAAUAUUUACGGCUCCAUCUAAUUCAGGCCUUCAUGUGGUCUUUCUUCCUCUGGCCUUGGGCUGUUGGCCGCAGGCUGCCAAAGAACAGAGGAAAACACAUCAGCACCCAAGUCCAGAGCACGGUUCACACUUCAUCCCAUAAUGAGCGGUUACACACGCUUUUCAGGGUUACUGCUUUGGAUUUUAGAGCAGCCUGUGUUACUGAAAAUGGAAAUAGAGUGAUUUGUUCUUGAAAAAUUAACGAUGAUUUUGACAUGAAACUAAUGUAACUAAGAUUAUAUGUGUAUUUAAUGUGUUUGUCUUUUGAUAUAUACAAUGUCAAAAAUAGUGAAAAAUAUCAAUUGAAAAAUGUCUCAGAACCCGAGGUGAUUUCUUCUAAUGUCUUUCUAUCAAUUUACAAAGAUAUAACUGGAACCAGAGAAUAUUUGUCAGCUUUAGCUACACGGCUGCGGGGAUGUUUGUCUGUCUAUCUCAUUUGUCCAGACUAAAAAAUCCCAACAAACAUUACAUGGCUUGUCAUCAUUUAGUACAAACAAUCGUGGCCCCCAGAGGAUGAUUGCUAUGAUCUCCCGACUUUUCCCGUUGCAGCGCCAGCUGGCUGACAUUCCUGUUUUUUUGUGAAACAGCUGUCGGAUGGAUUGCCAUGAAAUGUGGUUCAGACAUUCAUAUUCCCCUGAGGAUGACCUGUAAUAACUUUGGCGGUCCUCUGACUUGCAAUCUAGCGCCAUCAUCAGGUCAAAUUUUGUCCACCACUUUGGUUUAUGACCAAAUAUCUUCAAAACAAAAGACUUUCCCCAUCACCCUCAGCUAUGUUUGUUUGUGUUUGUUGCUCAAAUGUUAGCUUGUCAAUAUGCUUAAUUAAGAAGGUGAACAUG